AAAUUGAAGAGUUUGAUCAUGGCUCAGAUUGAACGCUGGCGGCAGGCCUAACACAUGCAAGUCGAACGGUAACAGGAAGCAGCUUGCUGCUUCGCUGACGAGUGGCGGACGGGUGAGUAAUGUCUGGGAAACUGCCUGAUGGAGGGGGAUAACUACUGGAAACGGUAGCUAAUACCGCAUAAUGUCGCAAGACCAAAGAGGGGGACCUUCGGGCCUCUUGCCAUCGGAUGUGCCCAGAUGGGAUUAGCUUGUUGGUGGGGUAACGGCUCACCAAGGCGACGAUCCCUAG
rnacentral:rRNA from 1 species